AUGUAGUGCUGUGAGUAUCAUGCUGGUUUGUAUUCUCUCUACACGAUGGCUGGAGUAUUCGUUGUCUUAACUGCAUUCCUGCUCUGUCUCCCAGAUCCCUCGGAGGGCAUCAGUAUUGAGCAGUCCCCUCCAGUGGGUGAAAGACCUGGGCAGUCUGCAGUGCUUGAGUGCCAUCAUGAUGAUAGCAGCUAUGAGUACAUGUACUGGUAUCGGCAAUCAAGAGGAGAAGGAGCUUUCAAACUGAUCGGAUACGCUUACAUGACACAAGCAGCAACCUAUGAAGAUGAUUUUAAAACACGAUUCACUUUCACUAAACAAACAACUCAGAAAGGCAGUUUAACCAUCUCUAAUUUAGCAAAGGAAGACAGCGCCAUUUACUACUGUGCAGCCAGCAAAGCACAGUGCUGCAGAUCCCCUCUCUCCUCUACAAAAACCCUUCGUAGCCACAGCCUUGCCAGUGUUGAGAACACGUCAUCUCACCACCUGGCAUUUCCAGUCUAA